rnacentral:rRNA from 1 species
UCUGAACGCUGGCGGCGUGCCUAAUACAUGCAAGCCGAGCGAACGGAUGAGAAGCUUGCUUCUCUGAUGUUAGCGGCGGACGGGUGAGUAACACGUGGAUAACCUACCUAUAAGACUGGGAUAACUUCGGGAAACCGGAGCUAAUACCGGAUAAUAUUUUGAACCGCAUGGUUCAAAAGUGAAAGACGGUCUUGCUGUCACUUAUAGAUGGAUCCGCGCUGCAUUAGCUAGUUGGUAAGGUAACGGCUUACCAAGGCAACGAUGCAUAGCCGACCUGAGAGGGUGAUCGGCCACACUGGAACUGAGACACGGUCCAGACUCCUACGGGAGGCAGCAGUAGGGAAUCUUCCGCAAUGGGCGAAAGCCUGACGGAGCAACGCCGCGUGAGUGAUGAAGGUCUUCGGAUCGUAAAACUCUGUUAUUAGGGAAGAACAUAUGUGUAAGUAACUGUGCACAUCUUGACGGUACCUAAUCAGAAAGCCACGGCUAACUACGUG